rnacentral:ncRNA from 1 species
UACCUGUUUGAUUCUGUCAGCGCGAUAUGCUCAAGUAAAAGAUUAAGCCAUGCAUGCUUUGAUUCAUAAAUGAAAUUGCGUACGGCUCAUUAGAGCAGAUAUCACCUUUCUCGGAAU